CACGUAGGCACCAAGCGUUGUCCGGAUUUAUUGGGCGUAAAGAGCUCGUAGGCGGUUCAGUAAGUCGGGUGUGAAAACUCUGGGCUUAACCCAGAGCCGCCACUCGAUACUGCUGUGACUUGAGUUCGGUAGGGGAGUGGGGAAUUCCUGGUGUAGCGGUGAAAUGCGCAGAUAUCAGGAGGAACACCGGUGGCGAAGGCGCCACUCUGGGCCGAAACUGACGCUGAGGAGCGAAAGCGUGGGUAGCAAACAGG
rnacentral:rRNA from 1 species